rnacentral:rRNA from 1 species
UACGGGGGGGGUAAGCGUUGUUCGGAAUUACUGGGCGUAAAGGGCUCGUAGGCGGCCAACUAAGUCAGACGUGAAAUCCCUCAGCUUAACUGGGGAACUGCGUCUGAUACUGGAUGGCUUGGAUUUGGGAGAGGGAUGCGGAAUUCCAGGUGUAGCGGUGAAAUGCGCAGAUAUCGGGAGGAACACCAAUGGCGAAGGCAGCUUGCUGGGACGGUACUGACGCUGAGACGCGAAAGCGUGGGGAGCAAACAGG